UUGGUUAAGUUAGAAAGGGCGCACGGUGGAUGCCUUGGCACUAGGAGCCGAAGAAGGACGGGACUAACACCGAUAUGCUUUGGGGAGCUGUACGUAAGCGUUGAUCCAGAGAUUUCCGAAUGGGGGAACCCACUAUCUUUAGUCGGAUAGUAUCCUUACGUGAAUACAUAGCGUGAGGAAGGCAGACCCAGGGAACUGAAACAUCUAAGUACCUGGAGGAAGAGAAAGAAAAAUCGAUUUCCUGAGUAGCGGCGAGCGAAACGGAAAGAGCCCAAACCAAGAAGCUUGCUUCUUGGGGUUGUAGGACACUCUAUACGGAGUUACAAAAGAAAGUUAUAAAUGAAGCGGUCUGGAAAGGCCCGCCAAAGACGGUAACAGCCCGGUAGUUGAAAUGGCUUUCCCUCCAGAGUGGAUCCUGAGUACGGCGGAACACGUGAAAUUCCGUCGGAAUCCGGGAGGACCAUCUCCCAAGGCUAAAUACUCCCUAGUGACCGAUAGUGAACCAGUACCGUGAGGGAAAGGUGAAAAGCACCCCGGAAGGGGAGUGAAACAGUUCCUGAAACCGUGUGCCUACAAGUAGUUAGAGCCCGUUAAUGGGUGAUAGCGUGCCUUUUGUAGAAUGAACCGGCGAGUUACGAUUUGUUGCAAGGUUAAGCGGAAAAAGCGGAGCCGUAGCGAAAGCGAGUCUGAAUAGGGCGCAUAAGUAACAGGUCGUAGACCCGAAACCAGGUGAUCUACCCAUGUCCAGGAUGAAGGUAAGGUAAUACUUACUGGAGGUCCGAACCCACGCACGUUGAAAAGUGCGGGGAUGAGGUGUGGGUAGCGGAGAAAUUCCAAUCGAACUUGGAGAUAGCUGGUUCUCUCCGAAAUAGCUUUAGGGCUAGCCUCGAGGUAAAGAGUCAUGGAGGUAGAGCACUGUUUGGACUAGGGGCCCUUCUCGGGUUACCGAAUUCAGAUAAACUCCGAAUGCCAUGUACUUAUACUCGGGAGUCAGACUGCGAGUGAUAAGAUCCGUAGUCGAAAGGGAAACAGCCCAGACCACCAGUUAAGGUCCCCAAAUAUAUGUUAAGUGGAAAAGGAUGUGGGGUUGCUUAGACAACCAGGAUGUUGGCUUAGAAGCAGCCACCAUUGAAAGAGUGCGUAAUAGCUCACUGGUCGAGUGACCCCGCGCCGAAAAUGUACCGGGGCUAAACAUAUUACCGAAACUGUGGAUGAACCUCUUUAGAGGUUCGUGGUAGGAGAGCGUUCUAAGGGCGGUGAAGUCAGACCGGAAGGACUGGUGGAGCGCUUAGAAGUGAGAAUGCCGGUAUGAGUAGCGAAAGAAGGGUGAGAAUCCCUUCCACCGAAUAUCUAAGGUUUCCUGAGGAAGGCUCGUCCGCUCAGGGUUAGUCGGGACCUAAGCCGAGGCCGAUAGGCGUAGGCGAUGGACAACAGGUAGAGAUUCCUGUACCAGUGCUAAUUGUUUAACCGAUGGGGUGACACAGAAGGAUAGGGAAUCGCACGAAUGGAAAUGUGCGUCCAAGCAGUGAGUGUGAGAAGUAGGCAAAUCCGCUUCUCGCGAAGCAUGAGCUGUGAUGGGGAAGGAAAUUAAGUACGGAAGUUCCUGAUUUCACGCUGUCAAGAAAAGCCUCUAGGAAGAGUAGUACUGCCCGU
rnacentral:rRNA from 1 species